GCUCGGAGACGCCGAUGCGAGCCCCGGGAAGAGUUUUCUUUUCUCUGUAAGGAGAUCGAGUCCCUGGAAUGGGUUCGCCCCGAGAUAGGGAUGGUGGCUCCGUAGAGCAGUGCGGUUCUUGCGCUGUCCGGUGCGCUCGCGUCGGCCCUUGAAAAUCCGAGUGAGGGAGUGUGAUUUUCGUGCCGGACCGUACCCACAUCCGCAGCAGGUCUCCAAGGUGAACAGCCUCUAGUCGAUGUACCAAUGUAGGGAAGGGAAGUCGGCAAAACGGAUCCGUAACCUUGGGAUAAGGAUUGGCUCUGAGGACUGAGCCGGUCGGGCUGGGGACCUGAAGCAGGAACGGCACUGCACCGGGACUGGGCGGGGCUCGCCGUUGACGCGGCGCGGCCAAGCCCGGACCAGCGUCGGGACUUUCCUGUGGAAAGCCUCAGCUGCGCGGCGUCUGAGGGCUUCGUGCCCAAAGUGCUAUGCUUCGGCCGGCAAAAAACAGUCAACUCAGAACUGGCACGGACCGGGGGAAUCCGACUGUCUAAUUAAAACAAAGCAUUGCGAUGGCCGCUGGUCGGUGUUGACGCAAUGUGAUUUCUGCCCAGUGCUCUGAAUGUCAACGUGAAGAGAUUCAUCAAAGCGCGAGUAAACGGCGGGAGUAACUAUGACUCUCUUGUAGUGAAGCUCUACAACUUGUUCUUGUACUGGGGUCGUGCCUCCAUGAAGCUGGGGAAUGCUCGAACCAUCUUUAUCCCUAAAGUGGAGGCAGCUUCUCAGCCAGGGGAGUAUAGGCCGAUCUCGAUU
rnacentral:ncRNA from 1 species